rnacentral:rRNA from 1 species
CAGGCCUAACACAUGCAAGUCGAACGCUCGUCUUCGGACGGGAGUGGCAGACGGGUGAGUAACGCGUGGGAACGUACCCUCCGGUUCGGGAUAACCCAGGGAAACUUGGGCUAAUACCGGAUACGUGCUUUGGCAGAAAGGUUUACUGCCGAAGGAUCGGCCCGCGUCUGAUUAGCUAGUUGGUGGGGUAAUGGCCUACCAAGGCGACGAUCAGUAGCUGGUCUGAGAGGAUGAUCAGCCACACUGGGACUGAGACACGGCCCAGACUCCUACGGGAGGCAGCAGUGGGGAAUAUUGGACAAUGGGCGAAAGCCUGAUCCAGCCAUGCCGCGUGAGUGAUGAAGGCCUUAGGGUUGUAAAGCUCUUUCGACGGGGACGAUAAUGACGGUACCCGUAGAAGAAGCCCCGGCUAACUUCGUGCCAGCAGCCGCGGUAAU